ensembl:snRNA U6 U6 spliceosomal RNA
GUGCUCCUUGGCAGCACAUAUACUAAAAAUUGUAGUGAUACAGAGAGGAUCAGCAUGGCCCUGUGCCAGGAUGACAGGCAGGCGGGGUGCAGUGGCUCACGCCUGU